rnacentral:miRNA from 1 species
AUUUGCUCUGGGUUAGUAGAA